AAACAGUAAAAGGGUCACUCACUCACUCUUUCGCAAGCUUCUCUGUUUUCAAUAUUGUUGAAAUGGCUGCUGAGCAAGACAGAGGGAGAGCAAAGGAUGUUAUUUUCAUAGCAGACAUGCUUCUUGCUCAAAUCAAGGCAGAGGAACCCAAGGGCAAAGCAACAGCCAUUAAAGGGAGUACAUUUAAUGUCCGAUAGGUGGAGAAAAUGCUGAAGGACGUCCACUACUAAAAAGCAGCAGAAGUGAAGAGAUACAAAGCUUCAGCUACAGUCUGUUUAUUGCCUACAGUGAGACCUCCACAUUUCUGCACUUGUGAUCAUGCAAACAUCCAGUGUAGAGCACUUCACCUGCCCGGCAUGUACACCCAACAAUGCUCGCUCUUUGUGCAGAUGGCAACAGAAAAACCUACAGAUUCCGCCAGUCAAAAAAAAGGAGCUUCAAGCAGCCACAAACGGAGAGUUCUUUUGAACAGAUAUUGCUUGCAAGUAUUGGCCAUACCUUGAGAAGGCGUCAGUCUCCAUGUUGGAACUCAGACCUUUACUGCAGAUGAGACCUUUCCUUUCUGUCAUGCAUGCCAAGGCUCAUUCAACCAAGUGUCAGGUGUCACACAUUUGUUAGAUAAUCUGGCAAAAAUCAGGAAGGUGCUGGUACAACUGCAGUUGAGGAGGUCGAAAUGGUCAACAGCUACCUGUCUCGUUGUGGCCUCACAUCCAAGUAUCUAAUUGAUGCCUAUUUAUAAUAUUUUAGGAAACCUGUCUUUAUUUUUUCACUUUUUUAUUCUUUCUGUCUAGUACUUUGAGAUUGCAUAAGAGUAAGCUGUAACUGUUCAAAGUACAUAAAAAAUUGGCAUGUAGUUCUCUCUUAAAUUUUAAACUCAAUUGUCAGUUUCUGGAUUAAUUGAAAUACGACAAGCAUUAAUGGGACCUUUCUUCCUUCAUCACAUACAUGUCUUGUUAAUAGCCAGGAAUGACAUGCUAACUGUCCAUGCUAUUGGGUGGAACCAACGGAAGCAAGAAGGCCUUCAGCAUUAUCCAGCAGAUACAUCAAGAAAGGCUGAGUCUCAGAGACGGGAAGAUUUGAGCAGUGAACUGGGGUGUCCUGAGAACAUUGUGAAUCAGUGGGUACAAGAUGUCAGACAAAAGGCUACUGAUGGAUUUGGUAGGUACCAGAUGUGAUGACCUACACAACCUUCAGAAAUGAAUUGAACAAAUGUUUCUUAGUCUUCAUCGAAAAGCCAGCCUUUAUAAUCACACUGAAUCCAGCAACACCCUCACCAAGAAGAUUUCAAAAGUGCGCCUUCAAGAAGCAAAGAUCAUUGUGAUGAGGGAGAUGAGACACCACUGCACCGCACCUAUCUCAGAAGCCUGGCUAGGAACAUCAGGAAAAUGAUAUCAGAAAUGUCUUCAGGCAAAAACAGUGGCAGUUUAAGUGAAGAGUGUCAUCGCUGGCUACUGUGUCGUCUUCAGAAAAGGCUUGCAGAUGUAGAGAAGAAGUUCCAAGUUUGCUCAAGUUACAGCCAGGACAGUGUUCUUCACUCCCAACCCUGGAGAGCCGGUGUCCUGCAGACUUUAGCUCCAACCUUAAUCAAACACAUCUGAAAGCUAAUCAAUGUCUUCAUGAUCUCUAGAAAAUCACAGGUACGUGUGUUUGAUUAAGGUUGGAGCUAAGCUCUGCAGGACACCAGCUCUCCAGGAUAGAGAGUGAAGAACACUGCUUUAGGACCAAAUGCUGUUUCUCUGCUGGAGGAUGAGCCCGAGGAGAUACUGGAGGACCACAAAGAGCUGGAUUAUGAGAGUUCAGAUGACAUUUUGGAUUUGGAACUCUGAACUGGUGUAUGCAUUUAGACUGUGUGUCACACUGAACUGCAGGUGUGUUUCAUGGAAAACAAAACUAUUUGGAAAUGUAAUGGAUGUCUGAUACAGUGCUUUUAUUUUAGACAACCGUUUCCUGCAGUCUGUAAGCAACAUUAGCCUCAUAGAUUGAUGGGAAACUACUGUUAAAUAAGUUUUUGUAUGAUAAUCCAUAUCUCCGUUUACAAGCAGCAGGUUAGCUAUUAGGUUUCCCCUCCACCUCCGAUGUUUCACAGACUACUCCUACAGUCAACUGUGUUGCUACAACUUGCAAAUGCCACAAUCCUCUUGCAGUGGUUACUUCACCAAACUGUGCCCAUAUCAUCUUGUCAACAUAAUGACAUUUACUGUAGAAAAAUGUGCAAAUCUAUUUUGCCUGUGUUACAUAUGUUACUAUUAUUGUUAUAUAGUUUUAUACUGUAUAAAGUUUUUUUCACAGUGAUUGUGGAUACGUUUGGAGUGAACUAACUGUAUGUCAUUAGAUGAAAUACUUUACAUAAAUGACUGAUCAAUAGCCUACCCAUAUUUGAUGCAUGAGUUAAUACUGUUGUUACCUUUUCAAUGAAAGGAAAUGUUUUACAAUGCCAUUUUCUUGAGGUAAUUAUUAAACUGUUUCAUAUAUGUACCUGCAAAAUUGUUUGCUAAAGCGUUGUUUACUUUUCCCUGUUUUGAAAAUGAGAUGUAAAACUGCUUUAUUUAUUUAUGCCUUAAAAAUAUAUGAUAGUUUAAUACAGGGUAAAUAUUAAUAAAAACGUGUUAAUUAGUUAGUA